AUUGAACGCUGGCGGCAGGCCUAACACAUGCAAGUCGAGCGGUGCGGCGGACGGGUGAGUAAUUCCUAGGUGUCUGCCUUGUAGUUGGGGAUAACGUCCGUUAACGAGCGCUAAUACCGCAUACUUUUUGAUUAGCCUUGUUUGUAUUUGCUAGUUGGUCGGUGAAAGGCGUACAAAGGCGACGAGCCGUAGCUGGUCUGAGAGGAUGAUCGGUCACACUGGAACUGAGACACGGUCCAGACUCCUACGGGAGGCAGCAGUGGGGAAUCUUGGACAAUGGGCGAAAGCCUGAUCCAGCCAUGCCGCGUGUGUGAAGAAGGUCUUCGGAGUGUAAAGCACUUUAAGUUGGGAAGCGGUACCAAAAGAAAAAGCAACGGCUAACUUCGUGCCAGCAGCCGCGGUAAUAC
rnacentral:rRNA from 1 species